UUGAAGCGCAGCCAUGAGUUUUCGUGUUCAACUUUGAUCGUUCGUCUUAUUUGAAAUUAUUUUAUGAUUAGUAUUUUUAUUGUUAUUAUAAUACUUUGUACGUGACUUAUGUUUUUUAUUUUUAAAAAAAAAUUCAAAUAAGACGAAUGAUAAAGUUGGACACGGAAACUCAUGGAUGCGUUUAAA
rfam:Oryza punctata chromosome 5, whole genome shotgun sequence.